GGUUCAAGCCGUUCCAAAGCUCUCAUUCCCUCCUCCCAGGGGUCAGCCAGGCUCCACAGACUGACCAGGCUGUAACCCCGGGUCGCAGCAUGAAGUCAACACUCCCAGUGGGUAUGUCCCAUGGAUGGAAAAGAGACCUUGGUGAUUUUAAGGCACUGAGCUUUUGAGAUUCUUUCUGUGUUACUAUGACUCACUACAUAAUCCAGAAGUUAUUACUAUGUGAAAAGUAAACUAUCUUCAGAAGCAAGAAGUUACGGUAUGGACGGGGCCCGUGGGAGCCAAUGUAUAUAAAAGGACUGGAUUGGAGGAGAAGCUCAGACCCUGCAGAGGGCAUCUAUUUCUAUAGACUGAAGUUAAGAUCUUUCAAGUUUGCUCCGAGAAGAUGGUUAAUGAGCCGUUGGGACUGGGAAGCUGCCCCGGUGCCGAGGAGAGAGCACACCACCUGGAGGAUGAGAAGCGUCCACUUCGGGUCUCCCCCCAUCACUCACCAGCCCCGCAGCUGUAACGAAGCUGGGUGGGCUUGCUGACCUUCUGGUUUUCAUCUUGUAAAAUGGGAUAAUACCAAACCUGUUCUGUCUUAGCUGUUGCACUGGGGUCCGAUUAGUUAACAUACUUUUCAAACUCUGGGCUUAAUAUUAUUAUUGAUUUGAGAGUUGUCUGAAGGUUUAACCAUAACCAUACCAAAAAUGGGUUUUGAGAAGCAAUUAAAAAAAAGUAUUGUGAUGACUGCCAUUUACCUUCAAACUUUCCAAACUGACAAUGUUCUCUAAAUGUGUGCUGGUUUUCACAAGUGCACGGAGGCUGUUACUGCUCCAGAGGGACACCUGCAUCGUGGGGAUGGCCUCUCCUACUUGACAAGG